rnacentral:pre_miRNA from 1 species
CAUAUACUCCCUCCGUCCGGAAAUACUUGUCGAAGAAAUGGAUAAAAAUGAAUGUAUCUAGAACUAAGAUAUGUCUAGAUACAUCCAUUCCUCUGACAAGUAUUUCCGGACGGAGGGAGUAUUAU